ACGGUGCUUUUUCUUCUUCGGAGGGAGAAGUAACCCGGCGGACGGCUCAGUAACACGUGGACAACUUGCCCUUGGGACCGGGAUAACCCCUGGGAAACUGGGGCUAAUACCGGAUAGAGCAUCGGUUGCUGGAAUGCACGAUGUUCGAAAGCUGAGGCACCCAAGGAUAGGUCUGCGGCCGAUUAGGUUGUUGUUGAUGUGACGGAUCAACAAGCCUACGAUCGGUACGGGUUGUGAGAGCAAUAGCCCGGAGAUGGGUUCUGAGAAAAGAACCCAGGUCCUACGGGACGCAUCAGGCGCGAAAACUUUACAACGUGCGAAAGCACGAUAAGGGAACUCUGAGUGCCUCCUAAGGAGGCUGUUCAGGUGUCUAAAAAGCAUCUGGAGGAAGGGCUGGGUAAGACCGGUGCCAGCCGCCGCGGUAACACCGGCAGCUCAAGUGGUAGCCACGUUUAUUGGGUCUAAAGCGUCCGUAGCCGGCUGAGUAAGUUCCUUGGGAAAAUUUGACCGCUCAACGGUUAAGCUAUCAGGGAAUACUGCUUGGCUUGGGACCGGGAGAGGUCAGAGGUACUCCAAGGGUAGGGGUGAAAUCCAUUAAUCCUUGGGGGACCACCGGUAGCGAAGGCGU
rnacentral:rRNA from 1 species